rnacentral:rRNA from 1 species
GGGGAAUUUUCCGCAAUGGGCGAAAGCCUGACGGAGCAACGCCGCGUGAGGGAGGAAGGCCUGUGGGUUGUAAACCUCUUUUCUCAGGGAAGAAGUUCUGACGGUACCUGAGGAAUCAGCAUCGGCUAACUCCGUGCCAGCAGCCGCGGUAAGACGGAGGAUGCAAGCGUUAUCCGGAAUUAUUGGGCGUAAAGCGUCCGUAGGCGGUUCAGAAAGUCUGCUGUUAAAGCUCACAGCUCAACUGUGAAUCGGCAGUGGAAACUUCUGGACUAGAGAGUGGUAGGGGUAGAGGGAAUUCCUAGUGUAGCGGUGAAAUGCGUAGAUAUUAGGAAGAACACCAGUGGCGAAGGCGCUCUACUGGGCCAUUACUGACGCUGAUGGACGAAAGCUAGGGGAGCGAAAGGGAUUAGAUACCCCUGUAGUCCUAGCUGUAAACGAUGGACACUAGGUGUUGGCCGUAUCGACCCGGUCAGUAUCGAAGCAAACGCGUUAAGUGUCCC